rnacentral:lncRNA from 1 species
AGGAAAUUGUACAUAAAUAUGGAGAAUAGUCGUUAUGGGGCUUGGGGCACAUAAAUAUUUGAGAACAAGAUCAGAAGCAAGUAAAUUAUGUUGCUUUGCAGCAGCUGUUGAUGAAUUUUAAGUGAGAAUUUUGGCACUAAAAGUUGUAGUGCGAAAUGAGAUUACAAUACUUAAUAAGUAGUUCUUUGGUGGCAAUGGUAGUUCAUGUUUGGUGAGUUGAUAUGUGUAUUUGUCGAUGACCUGUGAUCAAUAAGAUAAAUAUUAUUAUCUAACUUUGGUAGUCCAAAGUGGGAGAUCAUUAUUCUACUAAGGAAUUUGCAUGUGUUUAAAUGGGAAAACAAUUUUCACCAUUUGUUAUUGAGCCAUUAACAGUAAACAUAUUCGAAUUUACCUCUGUACUUUAUGAUGCAUCAAAAUAUACUAGGACGCGUCGAGCCUGUCAAAUAUAUUUCAUUAGGUUGUAUAUCUAGAAGAUGCUUUGUUAAAGUUGCUAACAUUAUCAAAUAAGAAGCUUUGUACCGUGUUUGAUUCAUAAAUUUGUAUUGGUAGAGUAUUAGUCUGAGGUAGUUAACUGUGAACACAAGAUUACAGAGGAUUCGUUUUGAAGUAAUGUUUUCGAAUACUUACUUCUUUGGUGACAAUGGUAGUUCAUGCUUGGUGAGCUGAUCUGUGUAUUUGUCGACGACCUGUGAUCAAUAGGAUAAAUAUUGUUAUCUAACAUUGGUAGUCCAAAGUGGGAGAUCAUUAUUCUACAAAGGAAUUCGCCUAUGUUUAACUCAGAAUACAAUUUUCACCAUUUGUUAUCGAGGCAUUAACAGUAAAUAGAUUUGUAUUUCCAUUAAAAUAUAUAAGUUAAAUAUGUAAGUACAUUGAAUUUAUCUUUGUACUUUGUGACACAUAAAAAUAUGCUAGAAUGUGUCGAGCCUGUCAAAUAUAUUUCAUUAGGUUGUAUAUCUAGAAGAUGCUUUGUUAAAGUUGCUAACAUUAUCAAAUAAGAAGCUUUGUACCAUGUUUGAUUCAUAAUUUCUGAGGUAGUUAACUGUGAACACAAGAUUACAGAGGAGCAGGUGUACAGAGGGGGGGAAAUGAAAACUAGGGAGGAGUGUUGUUGUGUUAUAUAUUUGUUGUGCUUUACCUGGUGUAGUACACGUGUGCUUCAUGAAUGACUGGAUUAAAGUACCAUGCACUUGCUGUAGUGCCGCUUAGAUAUGAUUGGCCUAUAUAGCAACUAAUAUGGGUAAAUAAUGUAAAUGUUGCUCUGAAAUAUUUAAAGCAUAACCUUUGAAACAUUUAGCAAGGCACCCAACAAACAUUAUGACAAUAGGUUUAUUGUUGCUCUGAUUGCAGACAUCAUCAAUGGAGAAACCUGAUGCUUGAUCUCCCCAAAGCGUAAUUGUUAGAGGUGUCACUAAAGAAACAAUAAUAGCAUGGUUCAAUAUAAGUAGCUUAGUUGUUACAAGGGGUAGUGCUGAAAGGAUUUUUUUAGAAUUUGCUACAUUAUGUAUGUCGCAAGAUGGUAGCAGCGGUGCAUAACUAAGAACUUGUUACAAAAGCAUAUUCAUAACAUAUCAAAAGUUAUUUGAGGUCAUGAUAUGGGAUGACUUAUUUUUAUACGUAGAUGAAACAGUGAAAGUCUAUAUGAGAUACAAUAAAUGCUUUCUCUUUUUUUGGUUUCGUGGUCAAGCAUAUCAAUAAGAUUAAAAUACAAGAUGAAAUGAAUAUAUGUAUAAAAAAUUUAGGUACAUAUACAUGUAUAGAAAAACAAUG